rnacentral:rRNA from 1 species
AACGUAGGAGACAAACGUUAUCCGGAGUUACUGGGCGUAAAGGGCGUGUAGGUGGUUUCGUAAGUUCGGCGUGAAAUUUUUCGGCUUAACCGGGAAAGGUCGUCGGAUACUGCGAGGCUAGAGGGCGGUAGAGGCGUGUGGAAUUCCGGGUGUAGUGGUGAAAUGCGUAGAGAUCCGGAGGAACACCAGUGGCGAAGGCGACACGCUGGGCCGUACCUGACACUGAUGCGCGACAGCAUGGGGAGCAAACAGG